GGGUUGUGAGGUUAAGCGACUAAGCGUACACGGUGGAUGCCCUGGCAGUCAGAGGCGAUGAAGGACGUGCUAAUCUGCGAUAAGCGUCGGUAAGGUGAUAUGAACCGUUAUAACCGGCGAUUUCCGAAUGGGGAAACCCAGUGUGAUUCGUCACACUAUCAUUAACUGAAUCCAUAGGUUAAUGAGGCGAACCGGGGGAACUGAAACAUCUAAGUACCCCGAGGAAAAGAAAUCAACCGAGAUUCCCCCAGUAGCGGCGAGCGAACGGGGAGCAGCCCAGAGCCUGAAUCAGUGUGUGUGUUAGUGGAAGCGUCUGGAAAGGCGCGCGAUACAGGGUGACAGCCCCGUACACAAAAAUGCACAUGCUGUGAGCUCGAUGAGUAGGGCGGGACACGUGGUAUCCUGUCUGAAUAUGGGGGGACCAUCCUCCAAGGCUAAAUACUCCUGACUGACCGAUAGUGAACCAGUACCGUGAGGGAAAGGCGAAAAGAACCCCGGCGAGGGGAGUGAAAAAGAACCUGAAACCGUGUACGUACAAGCAGUGGGAGCACGCUUAGGCGUGUGACUGCGUACCUUUUGUAUAAUGGGUCAGCGACUUAUAUUCUGUAGCAAGGUUAACCGAAUAGGGGAGCCGAAGGGAAACCGAGUCUUAACUGGGCGUUAAGUUGCAGGGUAUAGACCCGAAACCCGGUGAUCUAGCCAUGGGCAGGUUGAAGGUUGGGUAACACUAACUGGAGGACCGAACCGACUAAUGUUGAAAAAUUAGCGGAUGACUUGUGGCUGGGGGUGAAAGGCCAAUCAAACCGGGAGAUAGCUGGUUCUCCCCGAAAGCUAUUUAGGUAGCGCCUCGUGAACUCAUCUCCGGGGGUAGAGCACUGUUUCGGCAAGGGGGUCAUCCCGACUUACCAACCCGAUGCAAACUGCGAAUACCGGAGAAUGUUAUCACGGGAGACACACGGCGGGUGCUAACGUCCGUCGUGAAGAGGGAAACAACCCAGACCGCCAGCUAAGGUCCCAAAGUCAUGGUUAAGUGGGAAACGAUGUGGGAAGGCCCAGACAGCCAGGAUGUUGGCUUAGAAGCAGCCAUCAUUUAAAGAAAGCGUAAUAGCUCACUGGUCGAGUCGGCCUGCGCGGAAGAUGUAACGGGGCUAAACCAUGCACCGAAGCUGCGGCAGCGACGCUUAUGCGUUGUUGGGUAGGGGAGCGUUCUGUAAGCCUGUGAAGGUGUACUGUGAGGUAUGCUGGAGGUAUCAGAAGUGCGAAUGCUGACAUAAGUAACGAUAAAGCGGGUGAAAAGCCCGCUCGCCGGAAGACCAAGGGUUCCUGUCCAACGUUAAUCGGGGCAGGGUGAGUCGACCCCUAAGGCGAGGCCGAAAGGCGUAGUCGAUGGGAAACAGGUUAAUAUUCCUGUACUUGGUGUUACUGCGAAGGGGGGACGGAGAAGGCUAUGUUGGCCGGGCGACGGUUGUCCCGGUUUAAGCGUGUAGGCUGGUUUUCCAGGCAAAUCCGGAAAAUCAAGGCUGAGGCGUGAUGACGAGGCACUACGGUGCUGAAGCAACAAAUGCCCUGCUUCCAGGAAAAGCCUCUAAGCAUCAGGUAACAUCAAAUCGUACCCCAAACCGACACAGGUGGUCAGGUAGAGAAUACCAAGGCGCUUGAGAGAACUCGGGUGAAGGAACUAGGCAAAAUGGUGCCGUAACUUCGGGAGAAGGCACGCUGAUAUGUAGGUGAAGCGACUUGCUCGUGGAGCUGAAAUCAGUCGAAGAUACCAGCUGGCUGCAACUGUUUAUUAAAAACACAGCACUGUGCAAACACGAAAGUGGACGUAUACGGUGUGACGCCUGCCCGGUGCCGGAAGGUUAAUUGAUGGGGUCAGCGCAAGCGAAGCUCUUGAUCGAAGCCCCGGUAAACGGCGGCCGUAACUAUAACGGUCCUAAGGUAGCGAAAUUCCUUGUCGGGUAAGUUCCGACCUGCACGAAUGGCGUAAUGAUGGCCAGGCUGUCUCCACCCGAGACUCAGUGAAAUUGAACUCGCUGUGAAGAUGCAGUGUACCCGCGGCAAGACGGAAAGACCCCGUGAACCUUUACUAUAGCUUGACACUGAACAUUGAGCCUUGAUGUGUAGGAUAGGUGGGAGGCUUUGAAGUGUGGACGCCAGUCUGCAUGGAGCCGACCUUGAAAUACCACCCUUUAAUGUUUGAUGUUCUAACGUUGACCCGUAAUCCGGGUUGCGGACAGUGUCUGGUGGGUAGUUUGACUGGGGCGGUCUCCUCCUAAAGAGUAACGGAGGAGCACGAAGGUUGGCUAAUCCUGGUCGGACAUCAGGAGGUUAGUGCAAUGGCAUAAGCCAGCUUGACUGCGAGCGUGACGGCGCGAGCAGGUGCGAAAGCAGGUCAUAGUGAUCCGGUGGUUCUGAAUGGAAGGGCCAUCGCUCAACGGAUAAAAGGUACUCCGGGGAUAACAGGCUGAUACCGCCCAAGAGUUCAUAUCGACGGCGGUGUUUGGCACCUCGAUGUCGGCUCAUCACAUCCUGGGGCUGAAGUAGGUCCCAAGGGUAUGGCUGUUCGCCAUUUAAAGUGGUACGCGAGCUGGGUUUAGAACGUCGUGAGACAGUUCGGUCCCUAUCUGCCGUGGGCGCUGGAGAACUGAGGGGGGCUGCUCCUAGUACGAGAGGACCGGAGUGGACGCAUCACUGGUGUUCGGGUUGUCAUGCCAAUGGCACUGCCCGGUAGCUAAAUGCGGAAGAGAUAAGUGCUGAAAGCAUCUAAGCACGAAACUUGCCCCGAGAUGAGUUCUCCCUGACUCCUUGAGAGUCCUGAAGGAACGUUGAAGACGACGACGUUGAUAGGCCGGGUGUGUAAGCGCAGCGAUGCGUUGAGCUAACCGGUACUAAUGAACCGUGAGGCUUAACCUUACAACGCCGAAG
rnacentral:rRNA from 1 species